GACGAACGCUGGCGGCGUGCUUAACACAUGCAAGUCGAACGGAAAGGCCCUGCUUUUGUGGGGUGCUCGAGUGGCGAACGGGUGAGUAACACGUGAGUAACCUGCCCUUGACUUUGGGAUAAAUUCAGGAAACUGGGGCUAAUACCGGAUAGGAGCUCCUGCUGCAUGGUGGGGGUUGGAAAGUUUCGGCGGUUGGGGAUGGACUCGAGGCUUAUCAGCUUGUUGGUGGGGUAGUGGCUUACCAAGGCUUUGACGGGUAGCCGGCCUGAGAGGGUGACCGGCCACAGUGGGACUGAGAUACGGCCCAGACUCCUACGGGAGGCAGCAGUGGGGAAUAUUGCACAAUGGGCGGAAGCCUGAUGCAGCAACGCCGCGUGCGGGAUGACGGCCUUCGGGUUGUAAACCGCUUUCGCCUGUGACGAAGCGUGAGUGACGGUAAUGGGUAAAGAAGCACCGGCUAACUACGUG
rnacentral:rRNA from 1 species